UGUCGUUUCCUUCGCCUCCAUGGCUCUCCAUUUUUAGCAAGGAAUUUCGUCUCCAAACAGUCCGAAGACGGCAGGACUGUUGGUGGCAGUGUGUCACCGAAACUGUGCCUAAAAACAGGAUGAACAUCCACAAGAGGAUAAGAACGGGGUUUUGGACCUAUAAAAAGCAGCAAAGAAGAUCGACACAGGAUUCUUUUUUGGACUGGAGAGGGGGAAAGAAAACAGGGGAACCAGCGGAGAAAAGGAGGAAAGAGGAGAAAACGAGAGAGAAUGAGAGAACGCAGGAGAGGAGAGAACAGGAAAAAAAAAACAGAGAGAAAAAGGGAACAACAGGGGAGAACACAGAAAAACUAGGGAGAUAACACAGAGGAAAGAAAACCAAAAACAAGAGAAAGAGGGGAGAGAGACUGAAAGGAAGGGGAAGAGAAGGACGUUCUUCGGCCGACGCUAGGAUCAUUACCCUCGUCUUCGUCUUCGCCCAGGAAUAGUUUAGAGUUCUCCAACUCAUGAUCUGAACCAAGACCUCAAGUGCGAAACUCGACCAGUAUCAGAAGCCAUUGAUGAGUUCUCCAAUUGGAUGGAUCAAUUCUAUGGACAAGUGCUUCAUGCCCACCAGUCUCAAAGCAAAAUCUGUACUUCUUGAUUCGUAGAAUAUUUAAGAUUGUACUUCUUGAUUGGUAGAAUAUUUUAUAUCCUCUUUGUUUU